UCUAGAGACUUUACCCCUGGACCUGAGUACUUUCUACUUUCACACCUUCAUGGCUGCUGAUUAGGGAUAUCAGCCAGAGCUGACCACUGGGGUCCCUUUCACCACAUGGAACAUUAACAGAGCAAUAAAUCUCUGCACCUGUUUCUUCAACACACAGAGAUAAGGCAUCAAUAUUACACAUGAGUCCCUGGUCUUGGUAUUUGUGUCUGUUUAGCAGUAAGACCGGAAUUUACAAAGAAUCAAAGUACUGAGAUGUUGAGAAUAAAAGGAAGAUGAAGAACUUCCGCCAGGCAAGAGGCAAAACUGGAGAAGGCUCAAACAGCAAAACGGAACAUGUCAGUUCAACAACAGAUGAGCCAUGCAACAUGGACCAUGUUGGAGAAGAAAUCAUUUAAACUUCUGUUUUUCUAUGUGAAGGCAUCAGAUUUUUUGUUGUGAAUGUUUAGGGCUUAAUCAGUUGAAUAAUUUAU